AGAUCUAAUUGUGGCCCGACCAUGAACAAAGGGACGAGACAGAGGACAACAGCGAUGUUUGUGAGUCUUUAUUGCCCGACUGACCCAAAUGAUGUGGGAAUCAUUUGCUGAAUGUGGAGAGGCUGGAAGUAGAUGAUACAUAAUGGGAUAAGAAUUGCUUUUUUCUCAAGAAAAUACUCAAAGAAGAACUGAGCCACAGGAUCAAGACUCAGACGGCAAAACAGUGGAGGUCAAGUUGAAUCUGCAUUAUUGAUCACCUGGAGGAACGAAGCCACCGGCUCGCUGCUGCGGCGCCACGUCGACCUUCUCUGGAGGGACAAUUACUCUGCAAUACACUGGAUUAAAGUGGGAAAGUUCCAGAAAACCAGCAGGAUCCACUUCAAAAUGUGCAGAAUGUGAUUGCAAUGCGACCAGAUCAGUUUUUACUGAGCAGAAUGUUCUGGAUAUCUGAGGAUCUGCAGCACAUGCAGAUGUUGGGUGAUCUUCACAGCUCUGCCCACCGUUCAUCAAUCCACUUUUUGACAAUUGAUAAAGCUUCAUUCCUUGAGCGCUGAGAAAAUACAGAUCCCUUAAACUCUUCCCUCCUAAUGAGCACAGCUAUUGCGUUUACAGGCUAACGUUAACUUUACCUAAAGUUGGAAAACUUUGAAGUUGCAAUCAAGGCUGUUAGUUCCAGAAUGAUGAGGAUCUCCUCCUAAAGUAAGCAAACGUUUAAAACAGUAACCCUUAAGAUCUCAGGUUCAACUUGUGCUAAUUCUAACAGACGGAUGAUUUUACACAACAGUUCGUCCCAAACUCGACAGUCCAUCCAAACACCAGAAUCCACAAUCUGAUCAAAAUAUGAGACUAGGUGGAUUUCCCAAAACAUGUGUUCCACCAACAGAAUAAAUCCAGACAGAUAUUUUAUUGAUGGCAAUAAAGUGCCUCUUCAUAAUAGAUGUACAAAAAAUGUACUUUUACUCUUUCAACAAAAUGGUCUGCUGUUCAAUGGGAAACAAACUUCAAGGAAAAAUACCGACUCACCGGUCGGACAGAAAAAUGUAGUAUAAUUUUGAGAACAUUUCAUUCUCAAUCAUUUUUAGUAAUUCCAAACUCAGUUACCGAAUACUAAAAUUGAACUUAUUGUAAUUACAUCUCAGGGUCCACUUCAGGGUUCACUCGUGGGCCACGGCCUACACUUUGAGAGUCACUGACAAAAGACACUAAUUGAGUUCACUGCUUAAUAACUGGAUCAUAUUAAUGUGAAAUAUUAGUGCAGGACUGUUAAAGAUAUUUUAGUUCAGGGGCCGCACACAGCCCAGUUUCAUCAUGAGUAGGCCGGACUGGUAAAA